rnacentral:rRNA from 1 species
UGGGGAAUUUUGGACAAUGGGCGAAAGCCUGAUCCAGCAAUGCCGCGUGUGCGAAGAAGGCCUUCGGGUUGUAAAGCACUUUUGUCCGGAAAGAAAUCCUUGGCUCUAAUACAGUCGGGGGAUGACGGUACCGGAAGAAUAAGCACCGGCUAACUACGUGCCAGCAGCCGCGGUAAUACGUAGGGUGCAAGCGUUAAUCGGAAUUACUGGGCGUAAAGCGUGCGCAGGCGGUUUGCUAAGACCGAUGUGAAAUCCCCGGGCUCAACCUGGGAACUGCAUUGGUGACUGGCAGGCUAGAGUAUGGCAGAGGGGGGUAGAAUUCCACGUGUAGCAGUGAAAUGCGUAGAGAUGUGGAGGAAUACCGAUGGCGAAGGCAGCCCCCUGGGCCAAUACUGACGCUCAUGCACGAAAGCGUGGGGAGCAAAACAGGAUUAGAUACCCUGGUAGUCCACGCCCUAAACGAUGUCAACUAGUUGUUGGGGAUUCAUUUCCUUAGUAACGUAGCUAACGCGUGAAGUUGACCGCCUGGGGAGUACGGUCGCAAGAUUAAAACUUAAAUGAAUUGACGGGGUCAUAGCUGUUUCCU